AGUCACCGAAAUAAGUAUAGUGUACAAACUAAAAAAUGGAAUUUUGGGAAGUAUACAAGCGUUUUUUUUUUUUAAAUGAUUGCAUGUAAGCAAUUGCGACCUAUUUGUUCAUUGUUGAUCAGUACUUAUUAGUGACACCGGUACUUUUGUAGUACCGUUACUUUCUGUUUAAUUUGCGCACUUGUACAUUCAGAGCGAAAUAAUUAUAGCGUACAAUAAGGAAAAGUAUUCCGUAUCGGCAAGACGUACCAUUUACUCUGUAUUUUUAAGGAUUUUUAAAUAACUAAUUUAGAAAUGCCUCGCGGAACCCAUUUAUCGCUUGUUGAGCGCACUAAAAUUCAAACAAUGCGGGAAUGUGGAGCUACAAUAAGGGAUAUAGCUGAAAAAUUACAUCGCAACAAGAAAACAAUAUGUUCCUUUUUAAAAAAUCCCGAAAUUUAUGGUACAACAAAAAGAAAUGGACGUCCUCCAAAGGUUGAUGAACGGUCGAAACGGCAAAUAAAGCGUUUGGCAAUCACUAAAAACAUUUCCCCAGCAAAAAUUAGGCUCCAACUAAAUCUUGAAGUGUCCACCCGUCGAGUUCAGCAAAUUUUAAAAGAGAA